GUGGCAGCGCCGCAUCUUCUCCUCCCCUCGUCCGCCGCAUCUUCGCGACCACAAGAAACAGGACCAGCGUGUGGUGGGGACUGAAGAGGACGAGCAAUGCAUCAGCCUGGAGGAGCAGACCGCGCAGCUAGAGAAGGAGCUCAGGGUCAAAGAAAGGGAGACGCUCGAUGUGCUCUAGGAACUGGAGUCGGCCAAGAGGGUUAUCGUGGAUUAGAAGCUCAAGAUACACAAGAAAACAAUUGAGAUCAUGUAGAACCUGACGAGAAGCAGUAGCCUGAGGAUAACAACUGCUCUAUCGCUGAAUUGCCCACGACAGAACCUGAAGAGGAGAAGCUGUCUGCGGGAAAUGCUGAAGCUGAUGUGGAGAUGUGUGGCGGUCUCGACGAACACUCACAGCAGCAGCACCCUGACUCGGUUCUCAUGGAGCUCGAGCGCGCAAAGUCAAACCUGAACAGAACCACAAUUACUGGACUAGUAACCACAAAAGCUGAUGUCUUCAGCUGUGGUGUCAUUUUGAUGGAGCUGGUCACCGGACGGAGGGCGCUUGAUGACACGUAGCCUGAGGAUAGCAUGCACCUAGUUACAUGGUUCCGGAGAAUGACCUUGACGGGAGACCUUUGCCAGCGUUAGCACCGUCGCACAGCUGGCCGGUCACGGUGGGA